rnacentral:rRNA from 1 species
CUUGCUGGAUGCUGACGAGCGGCGGACGGGUGAGUAAUGCAUAGGAAUCUGCCCGAUAGUGGGGGAUAACCUGGGGAAACCCAGGCUAAUACCGCAUACGUCCUACGGGAGAAAGGGGGCUUCGGCUCCCGCUAUUGGAUGAGCCUAUGUCGGAUUAGCUAGUUGGUGAGGUAACGGCUCACCAAGGCCACGAUCCGUAGCUGGUCUGAGAGGAUGAUCAGCCACAUCGGGACUGAGACACGGCCCGAACUCCUACGGGAGGCAGCAGUGGGGAAUAUUGGACAAUGGGGGCAACCCUGAUCCAGCCAUGCCGCGUGUGUGAAGAAGGCCCUCGGGUUGUAAAGCACUUUCAGCGAGGAAGAACGCCUAGCGGUUAAUACCCGCUAGGAAAGACAUCACUCGCAGAAGAAGCACCGGCUAACUCCGUGCCAGCAGCCGCGGUAAUACGGAGGGUGCAAGCGUUAAUCGGAAUUACUGGGCGUAAAGCGCGCGUAGGUGGCUUGAUAAGCCGGUUGUGAAAGCCCCGGGCUCAACCUGGGAACGGCAUCCGGAACUGUCAAGCUAGAGUGCAGGAGAGGAAGGUAGAAUUCCCGGUGUAGCGGUGAAAUGCGUAGAGAUCGGGAGGAAUACCAGUGGCGAAGGCGGCCUUCUGGACUGACACUGACACUGAGGUGCGAAAGCGUGGGUAGCAAACAGGAUUAGAUACCCUGGUAGUCCACGCCGUAAACGAUGUCGACCAGCCGUUGGGUGCCUAGCGCACUUUGUGGCGAAGUUAACGCGAUAAGUCGACCGCCUGGG